AGAGAUGGCCCAUCUCAACGAGGCAAACAAAUAAAAAACAAGGUCACUAAUUCUGAAGAAGCAGAGUGAAAAGACAUCGACCUGAAACAGAGCAUUAAGAAGAGUCAAGAAAUGCAGCACUUCAGAAUAGGGCUCUCACAACAUCGAUAUGAAGCUGAAAAGUUACCCCAAAGCUGAGCAUCUUAAUGUUGAAGCAAUGCUGGUGAUCAUCGCCUGCAACUUUCCAUUUUGUUACCAUAUUCCUGAGAGGGGGACAACCAUCCUCUGAACACCAACAAGAACAGGGAGUUCUCUCUCAAGAGAGCAGCCCACCUCAUUCAACAGCUCUAAUAACUAAAAUGCCUGCAGUUAUAUAGGGGUAUGACUUGGUCAUUUGUCUUCCAGACACGGAAGAAGUACAUGGCCAUGCUCCCAUUAUCUAAAUUCAGCCACUAAAGAGCCCUGGGAGCAUCAUAGCAGCAGAUCAAACAGCAGAGAAUACUGCCCUGAUCCUCUGUGAUCCAUUGAGACUGGGAAAAAAGA